AAUAAAAGUUUUAAUGAGUUUAAAAAAAAAAAAAGUAUUUUUAGAUUGUUUUAUAAAGGUUCUGAAAUUUAGUCUCCUAAUUAAACCCUAAUCACCGUAUGUUAUAUAUACUCCCACAAACCUCAAAAUUCAUGCCGUGUAAAUUGACUACUAUAAUAAACUCUUGCCCUCUCGCACCUCUGCCGUCAUCAAGGACAUCUCUUAAUUUCCUCCAUCUCCUGGUGCAUCUUUUGUUUCUCCUGUUGCAAUUCACUCGCUGGCUAGUUUAAAUAGAGCUGAGUUUGACCUUCCCCUCUUAUUUUCAUGUCGACGGGGAUUACUAGGUGGUUCUUCCGAAUUAAGAUUCCGUACCUUGAGAAAUCAGGCGCGUUAAAGGUUGGUAAAGGUAUUUGGCUAUGAGUGAGGAGACGCUUAGAAUAACCACCUAGUCAAGAGACAAUUUCUAUUCCAGUCUAAGUUGGAUUUUGUUAUUUAUUUUAUUGGGAUUAAUUGGUUGUAAUAUUUUAUUGGCCACCUUUAGACCACUUAGUUAAUUUUGACUUU